AUGGAGACGGCUAUCGGCGCGGCAGGCUGGCUCGUCGGCAAGGUGUUGGAGAAGCUGUCCAAUGACUUGGUGGCUGCGUAUGUGGCUAGCUCCGAGCUCGGCCUCAACUCCGAGCAGAUCCAAACCAAGCUGAACUACAUGCAAGGGUUGCUGCACACGGCGCAGGACAGGGAAGUGAGCAGCAACCCUGGCCUGCAGAACUUGCUGCAGGACCUUAGCAAGAAGGCUAAUGAGGCUGAGGAUGCUCUGGAUGAGCUCCAUUACUUCAUGAUCCAAGACAAGUUGGAUGGCACCCAGGAGGCCGUCCCAGACCUGGGUGACGACCUCCGUGGUCAUGUUGGCCAUGCUCGCCAUGCUGCUCGCCACACCAUUGGUAACUGGCUUCCAUGCUUUUCUUGCUCACGUACUCAUGAUGAUGUUCCUUCUGCUGCUAGUGUUGUUACCAGUAACCCACACAAUGCAACCCAGUCUGCUAGUGUUAAUAAUGGUGGUUAUGUUGUUGAGUUGAAAUUUGAUAGAGUGGCCAUGUCCAACAGAAUCAAGUCAGUGAUAGAGAGCAUACGUGACCUUUGUGAUCCUGUCUCUGACCUACUGAAUAAAAUCCCAUAUAAGAACAUAGUUAUCACUCGGCCUCACACUGUUUCAACAGCUAAACAAGGUAAAUUGUAUGGGAGGGGUGUCAUGUUUGAGCAAACUAUAAAUGCACUCACCAGCGGCACAGAUUGCAGUGACACACUUUCUAUUCUGCCUAUUGUCGGUCCUGGGGGUAUGGGAAAGACAACUUUCACUCAAUACUUGUAUAAUGAUAAAAGGAUUGAGGGACACUUUACUGUCAAGGUCUGGGUAUGUGUGUCAACUGAUUUUGAUGUGCUUAAGCUCACCCGGCAGAUCCGUAGCUGCAUACCUGCAACUGAAAAAGAAGAAUACAACUGUACACAUGAAACAGCCAAUUUAGACCAGCUUCAAAAAUCCAUCGGAGAGAGGCUGAAGUCCAAAAGAUUUUUAAUUGUCUUGGAUGACAUUUGGAAAUGCAAUAGUAAAACUGAUUGGAAUAACCUGUUAGCUCCAUUCCGACAGGGGGAAACCAAGGGCAGCAUGGUUCUUGUCACAACUCGGUUUCCUUCUAUAGCACAUAUGGUGAAAACCACUGAUCCAGUAGAACUACAUGGUCUGGAGCCUAAUGAUUUCUUUGAAUUCUUUGAAGCAUGUAUGUUUGGUCAUAGCAAACCCGAGCAUUAUGAAGAUGAGCUAAUUGAUGUCGCAAGAGAUAUUGCAAAGAAACUAAAGGGUUCACCACUAGCAGCCAAUACAGUUGGUCGAUUAUUGGAAAAAAACCUUUCUCGGGACUAUUGGAUUGGAGUUCUUGAAAAGGAUGAAUGGCAAAAUGCCAAAGAUGUUGAUGAUAUUAUGCCAUCUCUAAAAAUUAGUUAUGAUUGCCUCCCUUUCCUUCUGAAAAAAUGUUUUUCUUAUUUUGCCGUCUUCCCUGAAGAUUAUAGGUUUUAUAAUUUGGAAAUUACUAGCUUUUGGACCGCGAUAGAACUCCAUUCCAAUAUUCCUGAGGUUGGAAAGAUGAAGUGUUUACAUGAGCUAAAAGAGUUCUGUGUUAAGAAAGAGAGUACUGGAUUUGAAUUGCACGAGCUGGGGGAACUGAGAGAGCUCGGAGGUGAACUCACUCUAUGUAAUCUUGAAACCGUGGCGUCCAAGGGAGAUGCUAGUGCAGCCAAAUUGAAGAACAAAAGAAAUCUGAAAGAGCUGAGGUUAGUUUGGGGUACAGAGCGCCGGACGAUAGAUGAUGAUGUUCUUGAUGGUCUUCAACCACACCCUAAUCUUAGGGUGCUUGGCAUUAUAAAUCCUGGUGUUGGCCCUUGUCCUAGAUGGUUGUGUGGUGAGGUUAGCACAAAAAGGUUGGAGAUGCUCCAUCUAGAGGGCCUAUCUUGGUGUACUCUUCCAGAUUUUGAGCAGCUACCACAUCUCACCAGUCUCACUUUGAAGAAUAUUGCCAGAAUGCGUGUGUUCGGGCCAGAAAGAAGCUUCAUGCACCUGAAGAAACUUGAGUUUGAGAAUAUUCCAGAGCUUGAGAAGUGGGUCGGGGAACCUAAUCCCCGUCUAUUUUCAAGGCUUGAAACCAUCAAGUUUGGAGGUUGUCCCCUUCUCAGCUUUUUCCCCUUCUUGGAGUGCUCUAACCUAUUUACAAGCCUGUGUAGUCUUCAUAUUGAUAACUGCCCUGAGUUGUCUCAGUUCCCACCCAUGCCCCACACCUCCACACUAACAGAUAUUCAUGUGAAAAAUGGUGGGUCGGAGCUAUUAUAUGAUGGUAAGAAAUUGAGCAUCGAAGGGUAUGCCAGUGCUUUGGCCUUCCACAAUAUGGAUAAAGUAGAGGUUAUGAAAAUUACGGAUGUAUCACGUCUGAAUGAGAGUGUUGUCCUCCAUUCAGUUCAAACUCUUGUCAUAGAUGAAUUAUGUCCUUCUGGAGAAUUGGUUUCUAUUUCUGGAGAAUCGCUUUCUAAGGUUUUAAAGUGUUGCCCAGCUGUUUCCCAGCUUACCACCAGUCAUUGUGAGAGCCUUGAGCUUCUGCCUAUGGGGGGUGGAGGACUCUCGGGCCUCAGAAUGCUCCAAUCGUUUACAGGAUCCAGUUGUGGGGAGUUGUUCUACCGGUGGCCCAAGGGAGAAGUAGGUGGAGGAGCUCAUGCCAUCAAGCCUUUCCCUACUUCCCUCAGGGAACUUAAUAUUUCCUUUGAGUCAAGCAUGCAGUCAAUGGGUCUGCUCUCAAACCUCACGUCUCUCACCAGUCUAAGCCUAAUAGGUUGUGAAGAACUAACAAUGGAUGGGUUCAAUCCUCACAUCACAGUCAACCUCAAGAAACUGAGCAUAGAUGCUAUGCAUUUUAGACAAGGGAACAUCUCUAUAGUAGGGGAUCUGCUCUCACAGAUUGCAAGGAGCAACUUAAUGAAUGCAGGUUCAUUCCACUUGGAAGAAUUACGGGUGGAUAGCAUCUCGGCAGUGCUUACUGUUCCCAUCUGCAGCCACCUUGCCGCAAGCCUCCACACAUUGCGGUUCAGUUAUGAUCAGUGUGCAAGAACCUUCACGAAAGGGCAAGAGCAAGCGCUGCAGCUCCUCACCUCCCUCAAAAAUCUAGAAUUUCAGAAAUGCAGUAAUCUGGAGUCCUUCCCUCAAGUGUUAAGUGGCCUAUCUUCCCUCAAGAGACUAUAUAUCAUGGAUUGUGAGAAAAUCGAAUGCCUGCCGCCCAAGGAGGGCCUCCCCGCUUCACUGGAAUAUCUGGCAGUAUGCUGUUAUAGUAGGGACCUAAUUGAGCAAGCCAGAAAACUGAAAGAAAGUGACCCAUGUUUGAUGACUCCCCUAUGGGAUCUCGGGGUUUCCCUGCUGCCAUCGCCGCCGGUUGCGCGCGCGGGCGGCGGUGGAGCGGAACUAUGGCGGCCGGCGGGGAUGGUCGCAGGGUCGCAAAAUCGCAGUGAGCUGGUCGUGAUCCGCCCCCGACCCUGGUGUGUGCUGACCUUCUUUUAUCUCACUGAUGCGAUGCAGGGCAUUAUGGCCGACGGUGGCGUCUUUCUUGCUUGCAACGAAUGUGCCUUCCCGGUCUGCCGCCCUUGCUAUGAGUACGAAUGCAAGGAAGGGAACAAGCGCAGGUGCCAGACUAGAUACAAGAGGCUGAAAGAGCAUCUUUACUCGUGGGUUGAUCUACCAUCUCUGUUUUCUAACCACAAGUAUUUCACUCUCAUUCUGCAGGCAAUUUCUGUCAACGGUGGAUUCUUGCAGUUAGUGGCUUUGCAUUCAGAACAAUUGCAACCAGUCAUGUAUUCUGAAGCAGCUGCACUGACCACAAUUCCGAAAGAUUCUUCUGCAGAACAAUUGCAACCAACAGUGGCUGGUGAGCUCUCGUGGUUAGCAGUUUUGCAUUCAAGGCAUACCUCCUUCAUCCAAAUAAUAACACCAAUGGAAGCACCUUUCUUUAUUUUUCUAACGCAGCAACUCCACAAAGUUUUUUCGCUAAUACCGUACUGGCAAAGCCAAACUCGAAGGAGUCUUAAUUCAUGGCUGCUCCGGAUGAUGGGUAGCACGAUCUGUCUUUGUUCUCCCAUCUGCCAUGCUAAUAUACUCAAUGGAGCAUGUGUGCGCCUGGGUCCUAUUUUCUGCAGGUCACAAGGAGGAACAGUCAUCCAAACUUGGGAGUGCCAAUUGCCAAGUGCUUGUAUGUGUACACAACAAAUUACUGAUGCCGACAAGGCGACGACGCAUGCCAAGCCAUGGCUUCUCACUCCCUCAACGACGCGCUCAUUGUCGCUGCGGCCCGCCACUUCCUGCACGGCAUAUUUCCAUGUCACCGGCGUAAUUUGGGGCCGACACCGAGCUGCUACCAGUUCGGCCUAUCCACCUGAAGCGAAGCGGUACAGCAUCCUGAUGUCCACAAUGUCCUGCGCCUCGGGUUUGCACGUCCGCUCUUCUUACUCUGUCUCCUACGCCAAGACAACCUCGCCAUCUUCGACCACGGCACCGCCUGGGCCCACAUCACCGGCGCAACUUGGACCAUGGGCUGAGACCGAGCGGCUCAUCAUCCACGCCCUGAUGUUAUACGCCAUUAGCACCAUGUGUACAUGGAUACACCUGCAUGUUUGGGAGGCAUUAGGAAAAGAUCAGCAUGUAGUUGUCGAUGUCUUAGAGGCCCAAGACCAGAGGGAGUCUAGUUGCUUAAUCCAAAAUGUCAAUGCAAUGCAAGCCGUAGAACUGGAAGGGGUUGUACCGUUCCUCUCGUUGGAAGAUAGAGAUGGUGGCCGAGCAUCACAAGGUUCAAAAAUCAAGGGUAAACCAAAGUCACUUGGCUACACCAUUUCAUUGGCCAAUUCGAGUGUGUCCAAGGUGGGAGGUGUUCCAGGGGCCUCCCUGGCCGAUGAGCGACAAUGUCAUCGGCGCCGUCGCAUGGAGGCAACCAGCUAUAUCUGUCUACAAAGCGCACAUGGAGGGAAGAGGCUCCUACAAACCCUUGUUUGGUUGGUAUUUAUUGGUCAUUCGUCUUCUCCGUGGGCUUUCACAGUAGCUGGGAUUGGAGGACAUGCCCCCUUUUUCAAUCCUUCUCCCUUGCUUGAGGUGCUCGUGAGCAGCUCCAUGCAUGUGUGCCACAUCGUCACAGACCCUUGUUCAUCAGAGCAACUUCUCCGUGUUGAUCCUCCCACGGGAAAGACUGGAAAGAUCCGGUGUAGGAGGUGUUUCAGGGCUCAGAACCGACAUUUGGCCUCGAGCGAAAACAUCAUCUGUGUCCUCGGAUCACAACUUUUUCCUGAGAAAGCUCGCGGAAGGACGACGCCCACCGUCUGGACGCCUUUGACACAAACCCCCACCACCGUGGCACUGAUCCAGAGGCUUCAGCGCUUCGUCGCCGCCACCAUCGUUGCUUCGCUACCACAAUUGGUCUACUCGGUCGGCAAGGCCGGGCCUUCCCAUCACCGUGAGGGAUCAGAAGCCACCUUGAGGGCCUUUUUGGUAUUUCCCCCCUUGGCUUCUUGGAGAAGCCACCCUUGGGCUUGGCCUAUAAAUAGGGGUGGAGGGGGCUGCCUAAAGGAUCAUCCCUUCUCAGAUACAAGUGCCAUGCAUGAUCUGGCUUCUCUCUCCCUCCCAGCGAAAUAG
rnacentral:rRNA from 1 species